UACGUAGGGUGCAAGCGUUGUCCGGAAUUAUUGGGCGUAAAGAGCUCGUAGGCGGUCUGUCGCGUCUGCUGUGAAAACCUAGGGCUUAACUCUGGGCGUGCAGUGGGUACGGGCAGGCUAGAGUGCGGUAGGGGAGACUGGAAUUCCUGGUGUAGCGGUGAAAUGCGCAGAUAUCAGGAGGAACACCGGUGGCGAAGGCGGGUCUCUGGCCCGAUACUGACGCUGAGGCACGAAAGCGUGGGGAGCAAACAGG
rnacentral:rRNA from 1 species